CAACCGGCACGGAAACUAAAGAAGCACACAAGCCAAGUCCUUCGUUCGAACUUGACAACAGUGGCUUCUCGAUGUUACUGUCCGCAAGACGACCAAGUGAAGAAGAGCGUGGGCUUUUGGAAGUUUCGGUGGUGACAAAGAUACAAACGGCAAGACCAAAGCUCCGGGUUCCGACCACAUAAACGUUUCGAUAAAAUG